AAAAUUGUUUAAAGUUAUAUCCUAAGCUACCUAGACUAAUUUAUCCUUUUACACAGCUGGAUAAUUUAUGCAAGGGCAAUUUAGGGUAAGUACCUUGAUCAAGGGUAUUGCAGCAGGAAGUGGGAUCUGAACCUUAAUCUUCCCAUCACUAGGCAGUGGAUCUCAUUACUGUAUUACCUGCUAUCCCUUUCUGUUUCUUAUCCAAACCCAUAAAUAGGUUUCAUGUAAUUUUAACAUAGGUGCGGGCCAGGGCUUCAUUUCGGUUCCACCUCUGAGCUCUUUUUCAGAGGAACGGCGACAUUCAAGUUCCAAGAAUGGAGCAGUUUCAGUGUUGGGAAGGUUUCUGGAGGGAAAUCGGUAUGUCGCCCUUUCUUUUUGUCUUAUGAAAUUCGGGUACACAAGUCAGAUCAUUGUCCCGACUAGUCUACUGCCCCCCAUAGGUCUUCCAUCCCCUUCCACCCGCAGGUCAGAAUGGACACAAAGGUGCCCGCUUUGCAUCGCCUCAUUUUGCAGUCCAUAAAUUCCCUUUAUUGGCAUGUUGUGCCAAGGAAUCUUGUGCUGGUGCACGUCCAGUAAUAAUGAGCACAGUUGGAGGGAGCUGUAAAUCGCUCACCCUGUGCCCUUGUCCGAUGUUGGCUUCAACGUCCAAUAACAUAACACACUCAUAAUUCAUCUCGCAGGACUGUCGAAGCACAUGGUGUUACUUCUCAACAUCGUUACGUACUGAGUUACUUUAAUGCAGAUUUAUGAUGUUGUGUGUAGUGAUGGUUCGUGCAACGAACGGAAGAAGUGCAUCAGAGGGAACAAGCAAAUCCGAGAAAGCGGGCAGCUGUUCCGUUAUUCCAAUCCCCUCGAAACCAAAGAGCACCAGUCUCCGAAGCCAGGCAAGCGAUAUGGGGAGCGAUCCUGUCUCGCGAUGCUGGGCAGCGGCAGCAAUCCGCAUCUUCCAGUCUGUGACGCAGAGCAGGACUGCACAAUAACCCCAGGUGGAAAUAUUUUCCUCGUGUUGAACACUGUCCGUCGAUAUUCAGUACACAGAGUUCACGUGAUUCUGGAUCAACAUCCCUCCCUCCGAAAAGCAGAGCGAAGUCCGGGAGCAAUCCAGCGCUGCGUUGACAUGGCAUUCUGGGUAAGACACGGGUUCGGGAAGGGGUGUGCCAUGAAUAUGUCAAAAAAGCACAAGGAAAGUGAUCAUUGUGGCGUGAAAAGAGCCACGCAGACCCCCACCGAAGGCAGCCUGCCCUCCUCCCCAAUGUGGGCAGUGAGAAGAGGACCCAGACAGGCCAAUGGUCACUCUGAAAGGCUGAGAUUGGUGGAAAUCUGGCCGCCAUGGAAGAUGUUCUUCACGUUCAGACGAAUGAAAUGUCUGAGUGCAGUUAUUUCUAGUGCGGACCUGACAGAGUAAUUCACCCUGUUUCACAUUACCUCUGGUGUGAAGCGCAGCGGGAGCAUCAUUAUCUUAUGGGGACUGUUUCCUUUGGCAAGGACUGGACAGCUUGUCAAGGGAAUCGGCACUAUGGAUGACAAUAAAUGCUAUUAAAUUUUGGAGGGAAAACCUGCU
rnacentral:lncRNA from 1 species